AUUGAACGCUGGCGGCAGGCCUAACACAUGCAAGUCGAACGGUAACAGGAAGAAGCUUGCUUCUUUGCUGACGAGUGGCGGACGGGUGAGUAAUGUCUGGGAAACUGCCUGAUGGAGGGGGAUAACUACUGGAAACGGUAGCUAAUACCGCAUAACGUCGCAAGACCAAAGAGGGGGACCUUCGGGCCUCUUGCCAUCGGAUGUGCCCAGAUGGGAUAGCUAGUAGGUGGGGUAACGGCUCACCUAGGCGACGAUCCCUAGCUGGUCUGAGAGGAUGACCAGCCACACUGGAACUGAGACACGGUCCAGACUCCUACGGGAGGCAGCAGUGGGGAAUAUUGCACAAUGGGCGCAAGCCUGAUGCAGCCAUGCCGCGUGUAUGAAGAAGGCCUUCGGGUUGUAAAGUACUUUCAGCGGGGAGGAAGGGAGUAAAGUUAAUACCUUUGCUCAUUGACGUUACCCGCAGAAGAAGCACCGGCUAACUCCGUG
rnacentral:rRNA from 1 species